rnacentral:rRNA from 1 species
AUUGAACGCUGGCGGCAGGCCUAACACAUGCAAGUCGAACGAGUGGCGGACGGGUGAGUAAUGUUUGGGAAACUGCCUGAUGGAGGGGGAUAACUACGGGAAACGGUAGCUAAUACCGCAUACCAUCGGAUGUGCCCAAGUGGGAUUAGGUAGUUGGUGUGGUAACGGCUCACCAAGGCGACGAUCCCUAGCUGGUCUGAGAGGAUGACCAGCCACACUGGGACUGAGACACGGCCCAGACUCCUACGGGAGGCAGCAGUGGGGAAUAUGGCGCAAUGGGUGCAAGCCUGAGACAGCCAUGCCGCGUGUAUGAAGAAGGCCUUCGGGUUGUAAAGUACUUUCAGCGGGGAGGCGUUAACCGCAGAAGAAGCACCGGCUAACUCCGUGCCAGCAGCCGCGGUAAUAC